GACGAACGCUGGCGGCGUGCCUAACACAUGCAAGUCGAGCGAAUGAAGUUCCUUCGGGAAUGGAUUUAGCGGCGGACGGGUGAGUAACACGUGGGCAACCUGCCUCAUAGAGGGGAAUAGCCUCCCGAAAGGGAGAUUAAUACCGCAUAAGAUUGUAGUACCGCAUGAUACAGCAAUUAAAGGAGCAAUCCGCUAUGAGAUGGGCCCGCGGCGCAUUAGCUAGUUGGUGAGGUAAUGGCUCACCAAGGCGACGAUGCGUAGCCGACCUGAGAGGGUGAUCGGCCACAUUGGGACUGAGACACGGCCCAGACUCCUACGGGAGGCAGCAGUGGGGAAUAUUGCACAAUGGGGGAAACCCUGAUGCAGCAACGCCGCGUGAGUGAUGACGGCCUUCGGGUUGUAAAGCUCUGUCUUCAGGGACGAUAAUGACGGUAC
rnacentral:rRNA from 1 species